ACAACCAUCUCGAAUCCCUUUCUUUUCCGUAUCCGGAGGGUGGGGGGAAUCGGUGUUGGUGGUGGAGGGAAUGGAGUUUGUUGAGCUUGCCCACUAUAUGUUUGGCAAAUCUCUCCUCCCCACUGAAAUUUGGUGGUGGGAUACUUGGGUUUUGGUGGGAUUUGAGGGGAUAUGAUGACCUUGAUGAUCUUCUUCCCCUCGCUUUCUGAAAUUCGCACAUUGAGUUUCUUAACCCAGUCAGCUGUCCCCCAUAAUAACAUCAAUCAUAUCCAAA
rnacentral:misc_RNA from 1 species